UAGGGAAUCUUCCGCAAUGGGCGAAAGCCUGACGGAGCAACGCCGCGUGAGUGAUGAAGGUCUUCGGAUCGUAAAACUCUGUUAUUAGGGAAGAACAAAUGUGUAAGUAACUAUGCACGUCUUGACGGUACCUAAUCAGAAAGCCACGGCUAACUACGUGCCAGCAGCCGCGGUAAUACGUAGGUGGCAAGCGUUAUCCGGAAUUAUUGGGCGUAAAGCGCGCGUAGGCGGUUUUUUAAGUCUGAUGUGAAAGCCCACGGCUCAACCGUGGAGGGUCAUUGGAAACUGCAAAACUUGAGUGCAGAAGAGGAAAGUGGAAUUCCAUGUGUGGCGUUGAAAUGCGCAGAGAUAUGGAGGAACACCAUUGGCGAAGGCGACUUUCUGGUCUGUAACUGACGCUGAUGUGCGAAGGCGUGGGGAUCAAACAGG
rnacentral:rRNA from 1 species